rnacentral:rRNA from 1 species
UACGUAGGGACCAAGCGUUUGUUCGGAUUUACUGGGCGUAAAGGGCGCGUAGGCGGCUUAACAAGUCACUUGUGAAAUCUCCGGGCUUAACUCGGAACGGCCAAGUGAAACUGUCAAGCUAGAGUGCAGAAGGGGCAAUCGGAAUUCUUGGUGUAGCGGUGAAAUGCGCAGAUAUCAGGAGGAACACCGGUGGCGAAGGCGGGUCUCUGGGCCGAUACUGACGCUGAGGAGCGAAAGCGUGGGGAGCGAACAGG